CCCCUGUGAAUAGUCCUCGCGCGGGGGGGUGGGGGGGGGAGAGGCGGUGAGUGCUUUCCCCUCGCCUCCAGCCUCCAGGAGGUUCCCGGCGCCUCAGGCAGCUGCAGCUUCAUAGCGGCUGCCACCGCACCUGGGCAGUCUGGACCCUCGUGCCCUGCUCCCGGGGCCUCGUGCGGUGGGCGCCCCGGGACACCCCUGCGGGCCGGGUGGAGGAGGAGAAAGAAGAAGAGGAAGACGUGGACCAGGAUCCCCAACCUCCCCACAACACCUGGCCUCUCCGCUUCCACUUCUUUCACACAAGGAGAGAGGAGCCAGCAAGAGCCAUGGGGGGCUGCGAAGUCCGAGAAUUUCUUUGGCAAUUUGGAUUCUUUUUGCCUCUGAGGACAGCUUAGCCGGGCUACUGUAGUCAGGUCUCCAACAACCAAGUUGUGUUGCUUGAUACAACUACUGUGCUGGGUGAACUAGGAUGGAAGACGUAUCCAUUAAAUGGGCUUUAUUUCAGAGAAAACUAGUAGCUAGGAGAAGCAUAGACUUACAGCCACAGUAAUUUGGGCUCUCAGAAAUGAAUGACCCUCUUGGAAAUUGGAAAGAAAAGGUGCUCAAAAUACAGAUCACAUGACAUUGCUGAUAUUGGGAAUGAAGUAAAACUGACUAAUUUCUGAAGAAUAUAGUUGAAGCUUAGUUUUGUAAGAGAUAAAUACAUCAGGGAAUUGAGGAACUACUGUUCCUUAAAUUUUCACACUGUAUUCUCUUUUGCUUUUUGUUUUCUGCCACCUUUUUUUUCCUCUUAAAUAAAAAAAAAAAAAGAAUUCUGUGUUGAAUAUUUCAAAAAUACUUACAAACUCCAGGAAAGUAAUAUGUUAACAAACAAAAGAAUGUGCAUAAAUAAAUUUUUUCUUUAUAACACAAUAGGUGUUCUAAAUUAAUACUGAAGCAUUUUUACGUCCAUUAAAUAUAGGUAAAUGCUUUGUCUUUGUGUUUACUACGAAGAACUAAUCUUACUAAAUCUUACUCUAGUAAAUCCCAAAUCUUACUCUUGUAAACCCUAAAUCUUACUCUGAAAAAAUUGAAGGACUAGCUUUAGUUCUUUAAGACUUCUAAAAGUGAGAUGAUUUUAAUGCUAAUUAAACCAAAACACAGAGACACACAGAUCCAGUGUAUGCAGUAACAUUGUAUAGAAUAAGAAAUUGAAGAAUAUAUAUCCUUAAAUUAUUCUCCUGUUCUUAAAAUAAAUAAUAUAAAUGUUUUAAAACAUUAACUCUUGUGUCUAUUCUUUUCUUUUUGAUGUUUUUACUUAUUUGAUUUAGUUUUAGCCAUUGUAGAACAUUAUAAAGGAUAAAUUAUAGUAAUAGCAACAGGAUCUGUAGUUAAGAAUAAUAUUCGAAAUCCUUAUUAAUCAUUACAGAUUAUGCCCCACUUUAUGUCACACAACAGUGAGUAUCUCAUAUUGGAGUACUGUGGCUAUUAACUUGAACUGGUAGUAAGCAGUUACUCUGAACCAGAGAAAUAAAAGGCUUUUUACAGUAUAGAAAGAAUUUUAUAAUUAAAACUCUAUUUUCUUUUCUUUGAGCUUCAGUAAUUACAUUUGAUAACUUUUAAAAUUCAAUAGCUAUGUGGUUUUCUUUAAAAUUUUGGUACUGUAAAAAGAUAAGCAGCUUUUUAAAAAUAGCCAUAUACUGGUUAUUAGGGAUAAUUAUAAUUGAAUAAAAUCUGAUAAUUACUAUAUAUCAUUUCAUAAUAAUUUUUUGGAUACUGUUUAAUUUAUACCUAAAAUUACAUAUAAUACUGUGCUUAUUAUUGACAGAACGUGAUUUUAAGCACUCCAUCAACUCAUUUGAAACAGUAAUGUCAUCAUUUAUUUUAACAUACAAUAACAUUUUAGCGAAAAAAUAUUUUUCAUCUCUGUUGUUUUUCACUUUUGAUUACCAGAAAGCAAGUUUUAAAAGUUGUGUUUAAUGUAUAUAUGGUAAGACAUAUUUUUUACACUAUUAAACUGAUUUAAUUUUCAACAGAACAAUAUGAAUGAAAUUAUCAAAAAGUAUGGGAAAAAUACAGUGUCACAUAGACCAGUUGUGGCAAACCUAUCUGUUGCAGCCAGCUAUUUGUUAUCAUUGAAAGCUCUAAAAGACUCAACAUCGCUGGUAUAGAUCAUUCCACAUUUUUCUGCCACCGUGCCUCUGGCACAUGCUUAUAACAGCCUCUGAGUACUUGGAUGGAUGAGAACAGUGAACUGAAUCCUAGAGAAACAAUUCCUUAGGUACCUUUUUGAGCCAGGCCCAGAGUCUCAAAUAGAAAGUUUAUACUUUGACACCUUUAGUCCUGCAACAGGUUGGGUGUUGGCGACUCAUGAUAUGUCCUCUAGGCAUCUUUCUUGUUGUCCAGUUUCAUAAUCUCUUCAAGAAACACAUAUCCUUUUCCCUCAGCUUACACACACUUCUUUUCUGGCCAGCAUGUGAGUUAUUGAAACUUUUCUGCUCUGGAUUAUGUUCCCAAUGUUCACUGUACAUCUGGCUAAAAGAAACCAGCAGCCUGAAUGUUCAGCUGCUUUGAAAUUUCCCCAAAUAGAUCAAUUGGUUCACCAUGUUUAAACAUAGUCUUCCUCAGUCUCCUGACAGGCACAAUAUGUAGAUGAGUUUUUUGUCAGAAUGUAACUUGCUUGGUCUCCUUUUCCCAAGAGAAUCUGCACUCCUUUCUAAAAUCUGAAGGGCAGCCUUUACUCUCUGCAGUUCUACUAGCAUUCCGGUCUGCAGAAUCAAUCAGAGUUGUUUAUAAGCAUUUGAGGAUUUCUUUAGCUUCUAUCUCCAAAGCAUUCCAAAUAUUUUCUGCAAACUACUACCAAAGAGUUGUGAACCACAUUGUCAGACAUAAUCAUACCAGUGGCCAAGCAUUCUAGUAGCAAUUUUCUAUAUUGGUCCUAGUUACUUUUUGUUGCUGAGACACAAUAUAUGAGACUCAUAAAUUAAAGGAGAGGUUGAUUUUAGCUCAGUCUGUGGAGGUUUCAGUUCAAAGACAGGUGGCUUCAAGGCAGGGCAGCAUGUCUAAGAGACAUGGCAGAGAAAAACAGCUCAUUACUUAGCAGCAGGACAGAGAUGCAUCAAAGAGGAGAGUAGAAUAGGCCCAGUAAGGCCACACCCUCAGUGACAUCACUCCUCCAAACAGAGUUCACCUCCCAAGUCACAUUUAGCAGACUAAUCCACUAAUGAAUCUCACGCACUCAUAUUCCGAUCACCUUCUCAAAGCCCCACCUAUGAGCUCAUGAGACUUUGAUGGGACAUCUGCAUACAAUCAUGACAGUCGGGUAUAAUCACAACAAUGACCCCACUGUCAGCAAAUCUCUAUAUUGGUCAUUUUUUUCUUUGCUAGAAUACAGUUCUCAGCAUCCACAACUUAAAGGAGGGGACAUUUAUUUGUCUUCAUACUUUAAGAAAUGUUAAUUCAUAGUCGGGUAGCUCCAAGGCAGAAACAUCAUGUCAGGGGGGGUGUGGAAGAGCAAAACUGCUCACUUCCUAAGUAGAACACAGGAGAAAAGCAUCAGGAGAGAUACAUGUUCCAAAGGCAAGUCCCAGCAGUCCACCUUCUUCUCUACCCAAGUCCAGUGAUACUCCAACCUUGAAUGUCAGUGAUUAAUCUGCAGUUGACUACCCCAAGAUCAGUUGUCUCUGCAAGUAUCUCUCGAUUCAGUGUAGUUGACAAUUAAGGUUUGUUGUCACAAAAUUCCUGUAAUACAGUAGUUGCUGAAUCCAAAUUGUCCUAAAGAUAAGUCUGAAAGCAAGUUUUCUAACAUUAAAGUAUUCACUGAAUGCAAUUUCUAGUAAAGCAAAGAAUAAACAUAGUGAAGGGACAGAUAAAAGACACAUAAUUCUUGCACUUCGAAUUUUCCUUUUGUUUUAUGUCUUUUUUAAAAAAAAUUUUAUCUAAGGAGAAAAAGAAAAAAAAAUACAGAGAAAGGAUACAAGUUAUACAGAUUAACAGAAAAAAAAUAAACAGUAGGAAAUCACUAGUUAAUGGAUUACAUUUUGUCAUCUUAGAAAUAAUUGUUCAAGUUACAAAAUUAAAGCUUAUAAAGUGGACAUUCCUACAGUGAGACUACAAACAAUUCUGUUCAAUGAUUCAACAAAAGUCAGUAAUAUCAUUAUCUAUCUUAUACACUUAAAUAUACAUGCAGUUAUAUCAUUUAGAGCACUUUCUUUUCCUCUCUUUUGUACAAUGACAAUUACAUAUUUUGGGUUUUGUUGCUCCCACAGUUCUUAUUACUUUUUUGGAAGAGAGUAGAACCAAAUGUGACAUAACAGAACAGUCAGUCAAAUCAAAAGGGUGGACAUAAUAGAUAAUGUAAAAGCAUAAUACUAGGUGAUCAACAAUGGUUACCAUAAUGCCUCCCGCUAUCUCUAAUAGAAUUUCCUACAUCAUUAGUUAUAAUAAAAUUGAACAAAACAGUAAAGAACAAAACCAACAAAACCAAAACAUUGGAGACAUUAUAGAUCUGCAAAAGUAGAUAAUUGGUGGGUGGCAUGUAAGGACUUAGUUAAUUGGGAAAAGCAUUGUGUAGCUUCUUGUUAUUUAAUUAGUGAUUCCCUAAUUAAAGUAAUGGGAAUAUAACAAUUCAAAGCUUUUUUUGAUCUGCCUAUCUUCUUUAAUAAAGUGUCACUCAGAUAUCUUAUAUGUUAAGGGAUAUUCAAUGGAAAAGCUUACAAUUCUUAGUGGUUUCUUAAGGUGCUGCCCAGAAACUUGUGUUGUAUUUUCUUUUUUUAAGUUUGAGAAUGAAAAAAGAAUAGAAUAAUGACACAGGGUUUCAAAGCAACAUAAUAGUAGAUUAACAAUUGUUAAUAUACUGCAUAUUGUUAUCUUCAAAGCAGUUGCUCAGAUUACAAAAUGUAGGCAUGAAAAAAAAUGAUCAAACAAUGGAAGCACAAACCAUUGCUAGUAACCUGUUUCAGCACCUUCAGAUGCUUUGUGUGAUCUUCAUAAUUUUUCCUCUUGAGUCUUUUUGUGAUUUCCAUGGGAAACUGUUUAUAUAGAUGUUCCUGAAAAACAAACUUAUUGAAACUUUGGUUUUACUGAAUCUGGAAUCUUAAGACAGAAACUAACACAAGGGAGAUGAAAUAGGCACCUGAGACCAAGCAACCCCUAGAACCAAGAUGGGAAUAUCUGCAUGAUAGAUACUGCCUCUGGCUGUUCAGAACAUUUUGGGUGUUGUGACUGAGACAUGUCCUUGAUGUUAGUUCCAUGAAUAGAGGAGCAAUUGAGGGUACAAAAGAAAUCUCCAGUACAGGUGGGGAAGUUGGAAGUAUAGCAAAGUGGAUCAUAGAAGUCACAGAAGACCUCUGUUAGUGGGAGAUUUGAGAAAGCACGGUCAUGGAGACCAACCAAAAGUGAAAUAGGAUAAUUAUCCAGUGAGGGAAAAAAAAAUCAUUGAUUUUGGCUCCUAUUUGUGUGGGUAUAUUUGUUUAAUUGAUAUGGUUAUACUAUUUCACAUGAUUUGUAUAUUCUUAGGAUACAGUUACAAAGUUAAUUUGGUUUUCUGGUGCUUCAGUAGAGACAAGGCUGCUUAGAGAGUUUGCUGGCAGACACUCACAUUUACGAUAUAACAACCUGAGAACACAGAAAAAGAAAGAGAAGAAAAAACAGUAUCUGGCCUUCUGAAAUGAGCUAGACAAUACUUUUUUGGUUUUAGUUAUACUACUUACUAAUCUCUGUUAGUUCAUCCAAAGCACAGUUUGUGCUCUUAUUGUUUGGUUACUUACUCAUAUUUUUUCAUGCCUUAAUCUUGCAACCUGAACAACUAGUUUAAGAUAACAUUAUGCAAUAUAUUAAUUAGAAUUAAUUUCCUACUUUUUUUUCAAAUUCCGUAUACUUGCUGUCAUUUUUUUUUCCUGUUUUCCAUUUUUAUAAUUAAGACAAAAGAGGUAGAUAGCAUUUGGGCUUGCCUGUUGUUGUAGAAUUGAGUGAUAAAUCAGAUGGGUCUCAGUGUUUUUUGUUUUUAGGUUUUUAAUUACUGUCUCCAUUCAAUUGACUAUUAUUGUAUUUCUUAUGGUUUUUAUUUUUUGUGGUUCAUUAUUAGCCAUUCAUGUGGUUUUAGAAGUCUACCCAUUUCUUCUGGAUCCUCCAAUUUAUUGAAUUACAUGUUUUCAAAGUAGUUUUGACAAUGUUCUAGAUUUUAGCAGAGUAUUGUAGUUUCACUUUUUAAAUUUUAGUUGCAUUGGUUUGGCCCUUUCCUUCAUUUUUUCAUACAAAUGACUGUAUUUUGUGUAUUCUUUCAAAGAAACAGCUCUUCAGUCUAUGAUUAUUUGUAUAUUUGUCUCAAAUUCAGUAAUGUCUGAACUGAUGUUUAACAAUUCAUCCUUAAACUAGCUUUGCAUUUGAAUUGUUCAAGGUUUUCUAGGAUCUUGUGGUCUAUCAUUACAUUAUUUAUUUGUACUUGUUCUGUGUCUUGGUAACUUUUCUUACUGCUCAGACAAAAUGUCUGAAACACAAAAGUAAGGAGGGAAAGAUUUACUUCAUUUUAUAGUGUGUAGAGUUUUCAGCCCAUGGUCAGCUGGUUUCACAGCAGAGUGGCAUGGCAGUGGUACAUCACAGAGGAAAAACAGUUAAUAGUGUGACAGGAGGAAGACAGCAAGGAGCAGCUUGCCCUUCCAUUUUAUUCCCUCAAGGAUGCAAGCCUUUUGGGUGGGGCCAAGUACACUGAGGAAAAUUUCUGUCUUCAUUCAGUCCACAUCUGUAACUACAUUACUUCCUAUUUGUGGACUAGUGUAGUGCCACAGAGCUUUAAUUUCAGUGCCACAUGUGCUAGAUUCAGCCAGUUCAGAAAACCCCACUUGAAGUAGUAGGUACAAGGCAUAAUGCUACUUUUUAUGUGAACAUUCAUGGUUAUAAAUUUUCUUCUUAAAAUCAUUUUUAUUGUGUACAUUAGGAUCUGGUAUGUUGUAAUGACAUCACUUGAUCCUGUAAGCUGUCACAGUAUCUUCUUUAUUUUGUUUGUGACUCAGUGAUUCAAUAAAGUGCUAUGUUAUUUCCAUGUCUAUGCCUAAAUUUUUUGGUUUCUUUUGCCAUUGAUUUCUAGUAUUAUUGCACAGUGGUCCGACAAUGUGCACAGAAAGGUUUCCAUUACUUCAUGUUAUUUUAAGCAUGAUUCUUUGGAUAAUAUGAGGUCUAUUUUUGAGAAAAUUUCAUGUAUUGCUGGGAAGAUGUCUUUCAUGUUUGGGUGGAGGGCUCAGUAGACAUUCUAUUAUAUCUAUUUGUUUGAAUAUGUGCUUCAAUUCCCAUAUUUAUUUGUUUACUUCUUGUCUAGUUCAUCGGCUUAUUGGAUGACAUUGGGGGUAUUAAAGACCUUUACUAUAACUCUGUUGAUGUAUGUCUGAUUUUACACCCAGGGAUAUUUCUUUUAUGAGUUCAGCACUCCAAUAUUUGGUGUAUAUAUAUUGUAUUUGCCUGUUAACUUGUAAUAUUAUCUAAUAUGCUGUGCCCUUUUGUUGCUUUCUGCUCCAUUUUGGCUUGAAGUCCAGGUAGACUGAAAAUAAGAUAAUUGUUGCUCUCAUCUUCAGGCUCAGGUUGCAUGGAAUGUUGUGUUCAACUUGUAAAAUUAAGUCUAUGAAUUUCUUAUUUAAUUUUGGAUUAAGUAUGUUUCUUGUACAUAAUGUAUAAUUAGUUUUGGUUUUGCUUAGUACAAUCUGGCAAUCAGUGUCCUUUCAUUUGGGAGUUGACAUGAAAGUGUUUGAGUUAGUCUUGUCACUGCAUCAUCACACAGGAGACGUAGUCCAUUGUUGGAUAAGCAAAAAGCAGUCUGCUUACUUUUUCCUUUCUCCUUGAUUGUAUUACACUACAAGCAUAUUCAUGGUUACCAACCAUGGCAGAGGUGGCAUUCCCAUUAUCCACACCUAGAACUGUGCUAAGCCAAUCAGUGUAGUAAUAAGUAGUCACACAUCCUUCAUUCAUAUUCACACACCCUGAAUGAGCUACCUUGAAAAACCCCAAGUAUAAGGGCAGGGAGCUUUGAGAAACAGCCAGAUACAAGCCAUCCCUAGCCUGAGAAUUUCUGACGUGUUGGAUUUGUGGUCUUGAAUUUAUUAAGGUGGUCAUUGACAAAAAAUAUCCUAUUUGUCCAUUAACUGUGAAAGAUAGUUUUGUGGGCAUAUUAAUCUUGGUUGGAAAUUGUUUACUUUUAGGGAUUAUAACACUUUGCUCCAUGCUGUUAUGCACUUUAAAUUUUAUGUUGGUUAGGAAUGUACUUGGGGUGCAUUUACUUUUCCAUUUGACAUGGAGCUUUUAAGAUUUGGUCCUUUUGUUGGCAUUUCAACUGUAACAAGCUGAAGAGUGGUUCUUUUCUGAUUCUGGCUAUUUGGGGAUUCAAUAUUACAUAUUUACCUAUAUUUUAAAUUAUUUUUACAUGUCUGGAAACUUUCCUUGUAUGAUUUCUGGAAACUGAUAUUAUGUUACUCAUGCAGUCCUCUGAUUUUUCACUAAUUCCAAUGAAUUAUAAGUGAGUAUUAUUUGCAUUAUCUAGCAGCUAUUGAUCCAUUUUCCUUGGUCUCUUGUUUUUAAGAUAUUCCUGACUCUAUGGUCACAUAAAUGAACCCUAGGUUCUUGUUCUGACAUUUGUGACUUCUGAUUCCAGUGCUCUCACAAGAUCUUUAUAAAAAUCUCCUGCAUUUACAUUUGGUGCAUUUUCAUGGACCAUUGUUUUUGCUAGACUAGUCAUUCAUGUAUUGGAAGAUAUUAUGUUGUUCAGCUACAUUUUAAUCAUGUCUUCUUUAAGAACUUCUUGUUUAUUAAGUCCACUAUCUGCUUAGUUAUGUCUUCUUUGAGCUCACCAAGCACAUUAUCAAUCUGUUUUCUUUUCUCUUUUAUGUUUUGGUAUAAUUUAAGUGUUUGGCUUUAUAUUUUUUUCCUUCUGGAUUCCCUGUGGAUGAGUUUUGGGGCACUGGGUCUAUUGGAGAUAUUUUCUUGCCCCGUUUGCCUAUGUUUAAUACUCUGUGUGAGAGUGUGUCUGUGUGCAGGCACAUGCAUGUAUGUGUGCACAUUAAGAUUUGAGGACUUCUAAGAUUGGAGUUUAUUGCUAGAUGUAGAUCUCUUUAAUCAGGAUCUUAUUUUCAGUGAUGCACUCAGCAUCAAUAAUUUUAAUACUUUGCUUACCUCAACAUUUCAUCACUUCUGUUAAUUUGAGGAGGAAAGGGUGUGGUGUAAUUGGCUUAAUGCUAUUUUCUUAUAAAUAAACCGCAGUAGCAUUGGUAGUUCAAGACAAAGCAGAUAUUGCCACAUACUAAACUCCAAUCAUAGCCACAAUUAUAUCACAAAAAUAGGAAAGAAAUCAAUAACAAUAGACUCCAAGAGAAAUUGGAUAUUGGUGUAAUACAAGAACAAAUAAAGUGCCACUCAACCAUUCAUGAGUAUAAAUAAAUGUAGAAUAAUAAUAAUAAUAAUAAUGUAUACAGAACUGUAUAUUAAUUACUGAUAUACAAUAAAUGUAUAAUAAAUUAAACAAUAAUACUAUGAUUAACAAUAGAAAAUAACAACAAAAAAUAGAGUUAACUAAGUAUUUAAAGAUUAACAAAGCCUAAUAGGAAUAUUAAUAGAGGAGAUAGGGAAGUGGAAAUGAAAAGCAAACUUUUAACUUUUUUUUUAAAUUUUAAAUAGAUUAAGACAAAAGAGGACAUAACAAAGCAGAUCAGAUCAGAACAAUUCAAGAAACAAAUCAUUUUACCACAAAACAAACCACAGUAACUACCAUAAUGCCUCUUUCUUUGAAUUAAUUGAUCAUAGUUUCAUAUACGAUAGUAUCAAACAUAACAAAACAGUAUAAAACCAUUAAAGAGAAUGAAAUCAUUACAGGGCUUUCAGAAACAAGCAGCACAGAAUGAAAAAUGGCUACUAUAUUAUCUCAUUGUCUAUAGAAAAUUUGUUUAUGUUAUCACUUACAAUAAUUUCCAAUAAGAUACGACGUGAUAGAAUCAAAGGAACAGAAAAAAAAGCAUAGAACUUUAGAGUAAGAUGAUACUAAAUCAGUUCUGCCUAUUCUAAUGUCUUGUUGUCUUCAAAAUAGCUGUUCAUACUAUCACAGAUAAUAAAAUCAAACAAACUAGGAUAAAACAAUUCCAACUAAUGAAUACAGACUUAAUAAGGCUCCAAACCAAUGUAAUGGGGAAUCAUGAUCACCAUAAAUUCUUAUGUACACAUACCAUUUCUUACACAAGGGAGAAUAUAUGGUAUUUCUACAUGUGAGUCUGAUUUAUUUCGCUUAUGAGUAUGGGCUCAAGGCAUCCAUUUAUUUAUAAAUAUCUCAAUGUUAUCAUACUUUAUACCUGAGUAGUACUCUAUUUUAUUUUAUUUUUUUAAAUUUUAUUUAAAAGGAAAAAGAGAAAAAACAAAACAAAACAAAGCGGUGUAACGGUACAAGUAAUACAGAACUACAAAAAACAACAACAACAACAACAACAACAACAAAAACGUAAGAAAUCACCAGUUAAUAGAUUACAUAUUAUCAUCUUAGAGAUAGUUGCUCAAAUCACAGUAUCAAAGCAUACAAAGUGGACAUUCAAACAGUGAGACUGCAAACAGUUGUCUUCAAUGAUACAACCGAAAACAUUAAUAUGGUCAGCUAUUUAACACCCCUAAACACACUUGCUGUUGUAUCCUUUAGAGCUCUUUUUUUCCCUCUCUUUUUUACAACAAAAUUUACACAAUUUGUGUUUUAUUACUCCUUAGUUCUUAUUACUUUUUUGAGGGGUGAGAAUAAAGUCAAAUAUGGAAAAACAAAGCUGUCAGUCAAAACCAAGGAUAGACAUAGCACAUGAUGUAAAACAGAGUACAAGGUUAUCAACAAUGGUUAUCAACCAUGUCUCUUGUUUCCUUAAAAAGAAUUGUCUAUCUCAUUAGAUAUUAUAAAGUUGAACAAAACAGUAGAGAACAAGACCAAUAAAACUUAAGCAUUGUAAACAUUACAGGACUUCCAAAGGAGACAAUAGUCAAACCAGAAUGGGCAUCUUAGUGAAUCUUAUUGCCUUCAAAGUGGUUGCCUAUACCCUCAAACUUGAUACUAUCGCACAGAAUGGAACAGAGUCUAAUCAGUUAAAACAAGAUCGUGGGAGUAUUACAGGACUUCAAAACAAGUUAAUAGGAAAUCAAAAAAGUUACUAUUAUAUACCCUGAUAAUUUAAAAAAAAUUUCCCCUUAAUUAAAAAAAACAAAAAAUAACUAAAUAAUUUUUAAUGAAUAAGGCAGAGGUUGAGAUAAAACAGGACAUAACAAUAUAACAAUACAGGUCAAAGCAUGACUGUUUCAGCAACCUAGUGGUUCACCACCAAAUUACCCGACUUAAUAGUAGUUACCAUAGUGUCUGUCUUUUUCCAUGAAAUAUUUGAAUAAAACUUCAUAUACUAUAGUUUCAAAUAUUUCCAUAUCAAGAAGCCCAGAAGAAAGCCUUUCCAAUUAAUAAGUGAAAACUUUAUAAGGCUUCAAAGCCACAUAAUGGGGAAUCAUGAUUACCACAUAUUUUUAUAUAUUUGAAUCAUUACUUACAUUAGGGAAACUAUUCGGUAUUCACACAUGUGAGAUUGAUUAAUUUCACUUAUGAGUAUGGUCUCAAGCUGCACCCCUUUAUUGAUAAAUAUCUAAAUGUGAUCUUUCUUUAUAGGUGAAUAAUAUUCCAUUGUAUAGAAAUACCACACUUUUAUCCAUUCCCCAGUUGAUGGACACUUGGGUUGUUUCCAAGAUCUGGCGAUUACAAAUUGUGCUGCUAUAAACAUAGGUGCACAUGUAUCACUGUGUUAUGAUGCUUUCAGUUCUUCUGGGAAUAUGCCUGGAAGUGGAAUAGCUGGAAUAAAUGGGACUUCCAACCCCAGCUUUUUGAGAAAUCUCCAGAAUGCCCUCCACAAAGGCUGCACCAGUCUACACUCCCACCAACAAUGUAGGAGAGUUCCUUUUUCCCCACAGCCUCUCCAGCAUUUGUUGUUGUUGGUUUUCUUGAUCCUGGCCAUUCUUUCAGGAGUGAGAUGGUAUCUCAGUGUGGUUUUAAUUUGCAUUUCUCUAAUGACCAAUGAUGAUGAACAUUUUUUCAUGUAUUUAUUUGCCAUUUGCAUUUCUUCAUCUGAGAAGUGUGUAUUCAUCUCAGAUGCCCAUUUUUGGAUUGGAUCUUUGAAUUUUUGGGGUCUGAGUUUUUUAAAUUCUUUAUAUGUUUUAGACAAGAGUCCCUUAUCUGAGAGAGAGUUCAUUAAAAUCUUUCCCAGUUUGUGGGUUUUCUUUUCAUUAUGCUGGAGAUUUCUUUUGACAUGCAGAAACUUUUUAGUAAGAAGUGGUCCCAGUUAUUGAUUCUGGCAAGGAUUUCCCAUGCAGUUUGAGUCCUGUUCAUGAAUUCUCUACGUACUCCUAUGUCUUCAAGGUUUCUACCCAAUUUGUCUUCCAAUAGAUUUAGUGUUUGUUUUAAUAUUCAGAUCUUUGAUCCAUUUAGAUUUUAAUUUAGUACAUGGUGAUAGACAUGGGUCUAGCUUUAGUUUUCGGCAAAUGGAGAGCCAGUUUUUCCAGCACCAUUGAUUAGACUGUCAUUCUUCCAGUGAACCUGCUUGACUCCUUUAUCAAAGAUAAGGUGGUUGAGUGUGUUUGUAGUUGUGGUUUUAUCUUCUAAUCUAUUUCAUUGAUCUUCGGCUCUGUUUUGAUUCCAAUACCAUGUUGAUUUCACUACUGUUGAUUUGUAGUAUAACUUCAAGUCAGGGAUUGUGAUGUCUCCUGCUUUGUCUUUGCUGCUUAGAAUUGCCUUUGCUAUUCUAGGUCUCUUCUGGUUCCAGAUGAAAUUUAGGAGUGAUUUCUCUAGAUCUAUAAGGUAUGCAUAUGUAUUUUUAUUGGGAUUGCAUUGAAUCUGUAUAACAGUUUUGAGAGAAUGGCCAUUUUCACAAUGUUUGUCCUUCCUAUCCAUGAGCAAGGGAUGUCUUUCCAUUUUUUGAGAUCAUCUUCAAUUUCUUUUUUCACUGUAUUGUAAUUUUCACUGUAUAAGUCUUUCAAUUCUUUCAUAAGAGUCAUUCCUAAAUAUUUCAUUUCUUUGCUUGCUAAUGUGAAGAGUGUUGUUUCUCUUAUUUCCCUCUCUGUGAUUUUGUUGUUCGUGUAUAGGAAUGCUAUUGAUUUCUGAGUAUUGGUUUUGGAUCCAGCCACAUUACUGAAUGUAUUUAUUGUAUGUAAGAGUCUUUCAAUGGAGUUUAGGGGGUCUUCUAUGUAGAGUAUCAUGUCAUCUGCAAACAAUGAUAAUUUAACUUCUUUUCCUAUCUUUACCGCUUUUAUUUCUCUCAUUUGCCCAAUUCCUCUGGCUAGUACUUUCAGUACUAUAUUAAAUAGGAGUGGUGAUAAAGGACAUCCUUGUCUUGUGCCUGAUUUUAAAGUAAAUGCCUUCAAUUUUUGGCCGUUUAGUAUGAUGCUGGCUGUUGGUUUGUCAUAAGUGGCCUUUAUUAUAUUGAGGUAAAGACCAUCUAUUCCAAUUUUCUGUAAAGUUCUUAUCAUGAAUAAAUGUUGGACCUUAUCGAAGGCUUUUUCUGCAUCUAUAGACAUGAUCAUGUGAUUCUUACUUUUGGCUUCACUGAUAUGGUGGAUUACAUUAGUUGAUUUACGUAUGUUGAUCCAUCCUUGAAUUCCUGGGAUGAAUCCCACUUGGUCAUGGUGUAUAAUCUUCUUGAUGAUUUGCUGCAUCCUACUUCCCAAUAUUUUAUUGAGGAUUUUGCAUCUGUGUUCAUUAGGGAGAUCAGUCUAUAGUUCUCUUUUUGAGUUGGGUCUUUCUCAGGUUUUGGUACUAAAGUAAUAUUUGCUUCCAGGAAUGACGUAGGAAUGAUUGCUUCCCUUUCAAUUUCAUUGAAUAGUUUGAAGAGUGUCAGCCUUAGGUCUUCUUUGUAUUUCUUGUAGAAUUCUGCAGUGAAUCCAUCUGGGCCCGGGCUCUUCUUUGUAGGUAAGGACUUAAUUACAUUUUCCAUUUCAUUAACAGAGAUUGGGUUAUUCAACAGUUUUACAUCCUCUUGAUCUAGCUUUGGUACUUCAUAUGUUUCUAAGAAUCUUUCUAUUUCUUCUGUGUUAUCAAACCUUUGUGAGUAAAGGUUUUCGAAAUAGGUGUUGAUGAUCUUCUGUAUUUCCAUUGGGUCUGUAGUGAUUUCACCUUUUUCAUUUCUUAUUGCUUGAAUUUGAGCUUUUUCUUCCCUUUUUUAAUAAGGUUGGCUAGGGGCUUAUCGAUUUUAUUUAUUCUUUCAAAGAACCAACUCUUUGAUUCAUUGAUUCUUUGGAUUGUUUUUUUUAGUCUCUAUUGCAUUGAUUUCUGCUCUGAUUUUUAUAAUUUCCUCUCCUCUUUUGGCUUUGGGCUUGACUUGCUCUUCUUUUCUAGCUUUUUGAGGUGUAGCAUCAAGUUAUUUAUUUGUAUUCCUUCUGUUUUCCUGAUGUGGGAACUCAGUGCAAUAAAUUUUCCUCUGAGGGCGGCUUUCAUUGCAUCCCACAAAUUCCAAUAAGUUGUAUCUGCAUUUUCAUUUUCUUUUAGGUAUUGUAUAAUUUCUUCUUUAAUUUCUUCUGUGACCCACUGAUUACUCAGGAGUGUGUUAUUCAGUUUCCAUGUGUUUGUGGGAUUUUUGCAGUAUCUUUUAUCAUUAAUUUCUAAUUUCAGAGUGCUAUGAUACGAUAACAUGCAAGGGAUGAUUUCAAAUCUUUUGCAUUUGUUUAAAUAUGUUUUGUGAGCUAAUAUAUGGUCUGUUUUAGAGAAUGAUCCAUGUACUGCUGAGAAGAAUGUGUAUUCUGAUGUUGUUGGGUGGAACAUUCUGUAUAUGUCUAUCAAAUCCAUUUGUACGCAGGUGUGAUUCAGUUCUGGUAUUUCUUUGCUCAUUUUCUGUCUGGUUGAUCUGUCCCUUGGUGUCAAUGGCAUAUUAAGGUCUCCGGUUACAAUUGUGUUACUGAUAAUUUGAGUUUUCAUUUCUGUUAAUAGUUGUUUUAUAUAACUGGGUGCUCUGGAGUUUGGUGCAUAUAUAUUUCAGAUAGUUAUCUCUUCCUCUUGGAGUUUUCCCCUUAUGAGUAUGUAGUGACCUUCUUUGUUCUUUAUGGUCAUUGUUGGUUUAAAGUUCACGUUGUCUGCAAACAGAAUGGCUACUCCUGCCUUAGUAGUCUAUUUUUUAAAAAAAUACCAUAACAUUAUUACCAUUCCUCAGUUGAUGGACACUUAGGUUGUUUUCAAUAUCUGGCUAUUACAAAUUGUGCUGCUAUAAACAUGGGUUCACAUAUAUCACUGUGGUACGAUGCUUUCAGUUCUUCUGGGAAUAUGCCUAGAAGUGGAAUAACUGGAACAAGUGGGAUUUCCAACCUCAGCUUUUUGAGGAAUCUCCAGACUGACAUGCACAAUGGUUGCACCUGUCUACACACCCACCAACAGUAUAGGAGAGUUUCUUUUUCCCAUAUUCUCUCCAGAAUUUGUUGGUAGUUUUUUGAUUCUGGCUAUUAUUUCUGGAGUGAGAUGGGAUCUCAUUGUGUUUUUAAUUUGCAUUUCUCUAAUGAGUAAUGAUGAUGAACAUUUUUUCAUGUAUUUACUUGUCAUUUGUGUUUCUUAAUCUGAGAAGUGUGUAUUCAUCUCAGAUGCCAUGUUUUUGACUGGGUCUUUGAAUUAUCUGGGUCUGAUUUUUUAAAAUGCUUUAUAUGUUUUAUACCUAAGUCCUUUGUUUGAGCGACAACGAACUAAGAUAUUUUUUCCAAGUUUGAGGAUUUUCUUUUCACUAUGGUGGAUAUUUUUUUUGACAUGGAGAAAUUUUUUGAUAAGAUGUGAUCCCAGCUGUUGAUUCUGGGAAAUAUUUCCCAUGUAGUUUGAUUCCUACUCCUAUGUCUUCAAAGUAGAAGUCUGUAUCUAUCCCUAUGUCUUCAAGAUUUUUACCUCAUUUGUCUUCCAACAGAUUGAGUGUUUCUCUUUUAAUAUUCAGAUCUUUAAUCCAUUUAGAUUUUAGUUUAGUACAUUGUGACAGGGAUGGGUCUAGUUUUAGUUUUUGGCAUGUGGAGAGCCAGUUUUUCCAGCACCACUUACUCAAUAGACUGUCGUUCUUCCAGUGAACAUGUUUGGCCUCUUUAUUAAAGAUAAGGUGGUUGAAUGUGUUGGUAGUUGUGGUUGUAUCUCUAAUCUAUUCAAUUAAUUUUCAGAUGUUUUUAUUCCAGUAUCAUGUUGAUUUUCUUACUGUUGCUGUGUAGUAUAACUUCAAGUCAGGGAUUGUAAUGUCUCCUGCCUUGCUUUCGCUGUUUAGAAUUGCCUUUUCUAUUCUAUGUCUCUUUUGGUUCUAGAUGAAAUUUAGGAUUGACUUCUCUAGAUCUAUUUAGUAUGUUGAUGGUAUUUUCAAUGGGAUUGCAUUGAAUCUAUAUAACCCUUUUGGGUGAUUAUCAAUUUUUACAAUAUUGAUUCUUCUUAUCCAUGAGCAAUAGAUGUCUUUACAUUUUCUGAGAUCUUCUUCAAUUUCUUUUUCAGGGUAUUAUAAUUAUCCCUCUAUAGAUGUUGUACUUUUGUGAGAUUAAUUCUUGAAUAUAACAUAUUUUUGGAUGUUACUGUGAAGGGUGUGGCUUCUUUUAUCUCUUUCUCAGUAAUUUUGUUAGUGUAUAGAAAUACUAUUGAGUUUUGAGUAUUGAUUUUCUAUCCAGCUACAUAAUUUAAUUUAUUUAUUAUAUCUACGAGUCUUUCAAUGGAGUUUUGGGGGUCUUCUAUGUAGAGUAUCAUGUCAUCUGCAAAUACUGAUACUUUAACUUCCUCUUUUCCUAUCAUUACCCCUUUUAUUUCUCUCUCUUGUCUUAUUGCUCUGGCCAGUUUUCUAGUACUGUGGUGAAUAGGUGCAAUGAUAAGGGACAUCCUUGGCUUGUGCCUAAUUUUAAGGUAAAGGCCUUCAGUUUUGGGCCAUUUAAUAUGAUGCUGGUUGUUGGUUUGUCAUAGAUGACCUUUAUCAUAUCAAGGUAAAGAACAUCUAUUCCAAUUUCCUGUAAGUUUCUUGGCAUGAAUGAGUGUUGGACCUUAUCAAAUGCUUUUUCUACCUCUACAGAGAUGAUCAUGUGAUUCUUUCUUUUGGCCUUAUUGAUAUGGUGAAUUGCACUUAUUGACUUACAUAUGUUGAACCAUCCCUGCAUUCCUGGGAUGAAUCACACUUGGCCAUGGUGUGUAAUCUUCUUGAGGAUUUGCUGCAUCCUAAUUGCCAAUAUUUUAUUGAGGAUUUUUGUGCCUGUAUUCAUUAGGGAGAUGGGCCUGUAGUUGGCUCUUUAAUCAGCUUUUGGUAGUAGAGUAAUAUCUGCUUCCAGAAGUGACUCAGGAAGAAUUACUUUCCUUUUGAUUUCAUUAAAGUGUUUGAAGAAUGUCAGCAGUAAGUCUUCUUUGUAUUUCUUUUAAAAUUCCCCAAUGAAUCCAUCUGGGCCUGGGCUCUUCUUUGUAGGUAGGGACUUAAUUUUCAAUUUCAUUAAUAGAAAUUGGUUUAUUCCACUGUUUUACAUCUUCUUCACCCCGCUUUGGUACUUCAUUUGUUUCUAGGAAUCUGUCCAUUUCUUUUGUGUUAUCAAACCUAUGAGAAUAGAAGUUUUUGAAAUAGAUGUGGAUGAUCUUCUGUUUUUCGACAGAAUCUAUAUUGUUUCAACUUUUUUGUUCCUUAUUGCAUGAAUUUGAGCUUAUUCUUCACUUUUUAAAUAAGGUAGGAUAGGGGAUUAUCAGUUUUGUUUAUUCUUUCAAAGAAUCAACUCUUUGAUUCCUUGAUUUUGUUGGAUUGUUUUGUUAGCCUCUAUUAUAUUUAUUCUGCUCUGAUUUUUAUAAUUUCCUACCUUCUUUUGGCUUUGGGCCUGACCUGCUCCUCUUUUUCUCGUAGCAUUCCUAUACAGUAACAACAAAAUCACUGAGAGAGAAAUAAAAGAAGCCACACCCUUCACACUAGUAUCCAGAUGAGGCAAUACAAAUGGAAAAUAAAUACAUGAAAAUGUGUUCAUCAUCAUCACUCAUUACAGAAAUGCAAAUUAAAACCACACUGAAAUUCCAUCUCACUCCAUAAAGAAUGAUCAUCAUAAAGAAAACUACCACAUCCCAUUUGACAAACCUAUUUCACUUCUAGUCAUAUUCCCAGAAGAAAACAUAAAACAUUAUACCACAGUGAUAUAAGUGCACCCAUGUUUAUAGCAGCACAAUCUGUUAUAGCCAGAUCUUGGAAAGAAUCUAUGUGUCAAUGAACUGAGGAAUGGAUAAAAAUGUUGUAGUACUUUUUAUAAAAUAGAGUAGUGCUUAGCUAUAAGGAAUUAUCACAUUGAGAUAUUUAUAAAUAAAUAGAUUUAGCUUGAGACCAUGCUCAUAAGUGAAAUAAAUCAAACUCACAUGUAUAAAUACUGUAUAUUCUCCCUAGUGUAAGAAACGGUAAGUGUACAUAAGAUUUUUUGGUAAUCAUGAUUCCCUAUUACAUUGCUUUGAAGGCACAAUGUUUUCAUUCAUUAGUUGGCAUGGUUUUAUUCUAGUUUGUUUGAUUUUAUUAUCUGUGAUAGUAUGAUCAGAUAUUAAAAAGUAAAAUAUUAAAAUAACCAUUGCUGAUUUAAUAUCAUCUUGGUUUGAAGUGCUACCAUGCUUUUGUUCUUAUGUUUCCACUGGUUCUAUCCACUGGAUUUUAUUUUGUGUGACAGUAUAAACAGAUAUUUUAUGGAAAAUGAGAUGAUAGACUAGCCAUUGUUUAUUUUUGGUUAUUUGGUUCUGAAUGCCCUGUAAUACUUUCAUUCUCCUGAAUAGUAUUUUACUAUUUUGUUGUGGUUGAUACUAUUGUAUGUGAAGGUAAGCUCAAGUAUUUCAAAAAAAGAGACAUUAUGGUAGCUACUGUUAAUAUACAUACAGUUGUCUUGUGGUGAAGUACUGUGUUGCUUACAUUGUUCUGUUAUGAUCUUCUUUGUUCUGUAUUCUUUUGUCUUAAUCUCUUUAAAUUAAAAAUUAAUAAAAUAUGCACCACUGAUAAGUGCUUAAUUAACAAAGAAAAGAGACAUAAAAUAGACUAAGGGGAUAUAGUUAUAAUUGUGAACAGCAGUUUAGGAAGUAAACUGAAUAUAUGAAACUGGAGUAUUUGUUCACACAUUUUCUCCAUUUAUAAAUAAUUUAAAUGAGGGCAGCUAGAGAGAGUGAAGGGGGAAAAGAAUAGAGGAUGGAAGAGACUGUUUACACUGUACCAUGCUGUAUUUUAUGAAUUCCUAAAUUCUUAGGUCUGAAAGGAAAGUAGAAACCCAAGUCCUGCUAGUGACCUUGGACAGAAAGUGUUCAGUGAAGCCCAUGGACUCUGUCCUGAGAUCAGAUACCUUCUCUGCUCUCCCCUCCUCCCUGAGGAAAGGACUCCUAUUGGGGCUGGGCUGAGCUUGGGUAUCAGAUAUACUUACAUUGCCAAGGUGGGGAUUGUGUCAUGUAUUUUCACAUCUUAUACACAGCGAUGUCAUGGAUCUACUUUCCUUCUCCUAUGCAAGUAUUUUGGCAUUUGACAUCUCAUUAUUAGACUAAAAGUAGUAAAUUCAUUUUAGAUCAUGUUCAUUCGACAUUUUUUCUUUUUUGGAGACAUGAUCUCACUAUGCAGUUAAGACUGGCUUUGCAUUCUCUUUGCAGGCUAGCCUGGUCUCACACUUGCAAUUGAUUCUCCUGCCUCAGCCUCCAAAGUGCUAGGAUUACAAGAACGUGCCACCACAUUGGUUAAUUUGACAUUUAAAAGAAAUCUUAUUUCACAAAAUUUUUAAGUUUCCUUGAGGUGGCAAUGGAUGACCAUUAAGUGAAAUUCCUAAAUAGAAAAUGAAAAAUGUACAUACAUGUAUAUGCACUUAUACAAUUAAUUUUAACCAAAAUGUUCUGUUGACCUCGGGUAGGUCAAAAGUCACUUGAAGGCUAUGUAUUUCAGGGUCUCUUCAGGUCAUAGAACGUUAAAACAGAAAGAAAAUCCUAGAGGCCAAAUGAAAGCCCUCAGUGCCAGCUUCCAUUCCUGCACCCGCUCUUGUUGCCUUUCUUUCCCAGUGGAAAGAGCGCCGCCUUCUGGUUCUGAAUCAGGAAAGUUUCUGUAUGGGUUCACCGUGAUGUUCCCUCACUCUGUAUCAGCUGGCAGUGUGAUACAGAGCCAUGUCCUAGGGUCUAAGGCUACUCAUUUGCAGUUACAGCGUAUCCUUGCCAUUGCUGGUCAGGUGGUGAAUUGGCACUUCAUGGAGUCUGCGUAGCUGACAUAGCUACUAUCAUAAUUAAUGCAUGUCCUCCACUCUAGUUCCUUCCUUGGAGGCUGGCAGAACCAGUGCCAUAGCUAGUGAAAGUGUAUCCAGAAGCUGCACAGGAGUUUCAGGAAGCCCUCAGACUUCACCAAGCCUCCCCUGACUCCACAACUCCUCAUAAGCCUAGACACAUGGAAACAAAAGAAGAUCCUGAUCUGGAAAUUGUCACACAUGUCCACUGUUAUCCCUCUCAUGUCCACUUCCCCUUCCUUUAUUUAUUGUUCACAAUUUACCUUUCAGAAGUGCAAACAGGAAAACCCAACUCAGCCCCAAAUCUAUAGUGAUUGUCUGUGCUCAUUUCUGAUCACUUCAUGGUAAUAGUUGCCCAUCCAAGGCUCAGUUUCUGUCCAGAGCUCAGGAUCAGGCCUAGGCUGGUUUUCAUGGGCACAGAGAAGCUUCAUUUGCAUUUAUUCCUGCUAUAUAAAUAGCGCUGUUAUUAGAUCCUUAGAGCAGGCUGUGUCCACAGCAAACGUGAGUGCACUGGGCAAGUCUGAUAAAAAAGACAUAUUCGCUAUUGUGAUAGUACUCUGUUGUGUUUUUGACUUUUCAUCAGUCUUCAUUUCUGUCCAUAUACUCAGAUCAUGCCUUUUAUGUUAAUGAUGCUUGUUUUGUAAACAUGUGAAAUAUUGAGUGCCAUGAAAAGUUGUGUCCUCCACUUAGGAUCUGAUGCUGUGUGAAUGUCUUUCC